rnacentral:rRNA from 1 species
ACGGGAGGCAGCAGUGGGGAAUAUUGGGCAAUGGGCGCAAGCCUGACCCAGCAAUGCCGCGUGAAGGAAGAAGGCUUUCGGGUUGUAAACUUCUUUUAUGAGGGACGAAGGAAUUGACGGUACCUCAUGAAUAAGCCACGGCUAACUACGUGCCAGCAGCCGCGGUAAUACGUAGGUGGCAAGCGUUAUCCGAAUUUACUGGGUGUAAAGGGCGCGUAGGCGGGGAAGCAAGUCAGAUGUGAAAUCUAUGGGCUUAACUCAUAAACUGCAUUUGAAACUGUUUCUCUUGAGUGCUGGAGAGGUAGAUGGAAUUCCUAGUGUAGCGGUGAAAUGCGUAGAUAUUAGGAAGAACACCAGUGGCGAAGGCGAUCUACUGGACAGUAACUGACGCUGAGGCGCGAAAGCGUGGGGAGCAAACAGGAUUAGAUACCCUGGUA